rnacentral:snRNA from 1 species
GAACUUUCUUUGCCAGUACUUAUACUAAAAUUGGUCCACUGCAGAGAAUAUUAACAUGGCCCCUUUGUAAGGAUGAUAUGCACUUUUGUGAAGCAUUCCACAUGCAU